CCUACGGGCGGCAGCAGUGGGGAAUAUUGGACAAUGGGGGGAACCCUGAUCCAGCCAUGCCGCGUGUGUGAAGAAGGCCCUCGGGUUGUAAAGCACUUUCAGUGAGGAAGAACGCCUGGUGGUUAAUACCCAUCAGGAAAGACAUCACUCACAGAAGAAGCACCGGCUAACUCCGUGCCAGCAGCCGCGGUAAUACGGAGGGUGCGAGCGUUAAUCGGAAUUACUGGGCGUAAAGCGCGCGUAGGUGGCUUGAUAAGCCGGUUGUGAAAGCCCCGGGCUCAACCUGGGAACGGCAUCCGGAACUGUCAAGCUAGGGUGCAGGAGAGGAAGGUAGAAUUCCCGGUGUAGCGGUGAAAUGCGUAGAGAUCGGGAGGAAUACCAGUGGCGCAGGCGGCCUUCUGGACUGACACUGACACUGAGGUGCGAAAGCGUGGGUAGCAAACAGGAUUAGAUACCCCUGUAGUC
rnacentral:rRNA from 1 species